rnacentral:rRNA from 1 species
UACGUAGGGAGCAAGCGUUGUCCGGAAUCAUUGGGCGUAAAGAGCGUGUAGGCGGUCCGGUAAGUCCGUUGUGAAAACUGGAGGCUUAACCUCCAGACGUCGACGGAAACCGCGUGGCUAGAGUCCGGAAGAGGAGAGUGGAAUUCCUGGUGUAGCGGUGAAAUGCGCAGAUAUCAGGAGGAACACCGGUGGCGAAGGCGGGUCUCUGGGCCGUAACUGACGCUGAGGAGCGAAAGCGUGGGGAGCGAACAGG